UAAAAUUAAGGAUAAAAAUGGGGACUAAAGUAUUAAAAGCUAAAAAAAAAAAAGGUGACUCAUGUACCUUUAUUGAUUUGUAUAAGCACACGUGUCUCGUUCAGUGGAUUCGUGUCCCGUGUCCAUCAUUUUGUACUUGUAUAAUUUUCUUCCUAUUUUCGUAUUCUAAUUUAAAAUUAAAAUGAUACGAAAUAAAUUGUCACAAAACAAAUAUAUAUGACAAAGUAUGACUGAAGUACAUUACAUCAACUGUUUUUGCUGCCAUCACUGACUUAAAGAAAGAAAGAAAGAAAGAAAGAAAAUAUGAAUGAAAUAAGGAGCGACAGGCAGACGAGAGACCGUAGGCAUGUUGUCUUUAGAUUUUUGGCCCUUCAAUUGUUUCACAUCAUGUCCCACUUGUCAUCUUCACUUCCUCCACGCCGUUGCUUCUCCGUUUCUUUGCUUGUUUUCAGGAUUUUGGCAUCCGUACACGUGGAGGGUUCAUAUAAGUGCAAUACAAUUUUUCAAAUAUGAAAUCUAUACGCUCUUGUUGUUUGAAAACUCAUUGAUGUUUAAUUAGAUCUUAAGUGUUUUACGUGGUAGGGUCUCGUCUAGGUUUAGACACUUAGAUUGUGUCAUAUAAAGUUGAUGUAGCAGGUCGUGGUAGUUUUUUUUUCUUUUUUUUUAACCAUAAUUAUCCACAGAUUUACUAUUAGGGUUGGGCAUGUAGCUGAAUAUACAUACCGGUAGGGACGUUUAGCUAGAAAUUUUGUUGGGAUGCUAAUAAUAGUAUUCAUAAUUUUAAAACUUAAUGAAACAAAAAAAAAAAUAACCCCACGAUUAUAUUAUUUAUUGCUAAUAUUUAUACUCGUCGACAAGUUUUCAUGUUCUGAAAAUAGUAUAUGGUAGUUUUAUUAUUUGUGUAUGCUUAUUUAGAAUGCACGCACUAGAUGGUGGCAACGUAAUAGAAUGAUGUCUGGUGAGUUUAAGCAACGAAUUUAUGGCUUGUUCUUAUUGUGACUUGUUGAUUUUUUUAAGGUGGAGAAAUCAAAAUAUUUAGAUCUAGAUAUUUAGAUAUUUUUCUUUUACUUUUUAAUAUUUUAUUAUU
rnacentral:lncRNA from 1 species